rnacentral:rRNA from 1 species
AUGAAAGGCCUCUUGAAAGGGAGAUUUUUGCCCGCUGAUUAUGACCAGAUCCUAUUUAUCCAAUUUCAAAAUUGUGCUCAAGGAAAUAGGACUGUUUCAGAUUACACGGAGGAGUUUCUAAGGCUACAAGUGAGGUGCAACCUUGCUGAAACUGAAGAGCAACAAGUUGCAAGGUACAUCAAUGGUCUCAAUGAUGCUAUUCAAGAUCGAUUGAUGAUGCAACAAAUCUGGUCCGUUGAUCAAGCACAAGCUCUAGCCUUAAAGGCCGAGAGGUUUGUGAGGAUGAGAAAGAUAACUAAGGCUCCAUAUCCUCCAUAUCCUCAUACCGAAGGCUCAUCUAGGAGCCAACCUAAUAGAGUGGAAGAAAAGACCACUCCACCAAAGACAAAACAGCCCAUCCCGAAGCAAACUAGAGGCAAGGGUAAGGCAAAUGAAGGUCCAAAGUGCUAUAAAUGUGGUAAAGAGGGACACAUAUCCAGCAGCUGCCCACUAAGGAAAUUUGUUAACAUGACUAUCCAUGAUGGUGAAAGCGAUGAGGAAGAAUACGAAUCUGAAGAUGUAGAAGGACAAGAGGUUUGUCAAGAAGAAGGUGAAGAGGUGGUAUGUGUGAUCCAGCGUGUCCUAUGUUCCACACCACAACUCGAUGACACACAACGGAAGAAAAUAUUUGAGAGCAAAUGCACGGUGAAUGGCAAGGUAUGCAAACUAGUGAUUGAUAGUUGCAGUUGCGAGAAUCUUAUCUCCCAGAAGUUGAUGGACCAUUUAAAGCUUGAAACCCAUGAUCAUCCAAAUCCCUACACUAUUGGAUGGAUCAAGAAAGGAGUGAAUAUGAGGAUCACCAAACAAUGCAACCUGCCACUUUCUUUGGGUAAGCAUUAUCGCUCAAAUGUGUUGUGUGAUGUGGUUGACAUGGAUGCCAGCCAUGUUCUUCUUGGGAGGCCUUGGCAAUUUGAUGUGGAUACUACACACAAGGGCAAGGAAAAUUCUUACUCUUUCAUUUGGAACAAGAGAAGGAUCAUUAUCUUACCAAACAAACCCGAAGGUAAUACCUCUAAGGAGGAGGGGAAAACUAUGUUAACUAUCUCCCAUACCUCUCAUGAGUUUAUGGAAGACUUGAAGGAGGCAGAUUUGUGUGCUGUACUUGUUGUAAAGGGAGAAGAGCACCUGACUGUUGAAAUUCCAGCAAAGGUACGUGGUUUAUUGGCAGAAUUUCAGAACAUACUUGGGGAGCCACAUGGCUUGCCACCGAUGAGAGGAAUUCAACAUAGAAUUGACUUAAUUCCGGGAGCAAGUCUUCCUAAUCUUCCACACUAUCGAAUGAGCCCAAAGGAGCAUGGUAUAUUGAAGGAGAAAGUGGAGGAAUUGUUGCAAAAGGGGCACAUUCGAGAAAGUAUUAGCCCAUGUGCUGUACCAGCCCUGCUCGCGCCAAAGAAAGAUGGAUCUUGGCGCAUGUGUACGGACAGUAGAGCCGUUAACAAGAUCACCGUAAGGUAUAGAUUCCCUAUUCCCCGUCUGGAUGAUAUGUUGGAUCAGCUUAGUGGAGCAAGAGUGUUCACAAAGCUAGAUUUAAGAAGUGGAUAUCAUCAAAUCCAUAUAAGACCCGGGGAUGAAUGGAAGACCGCCUUCAAGACAAAGGAAGGGUUGUUUGAAUGGCUAGUCAUGCCAUUUGGACUCUCAAAUGCACCAAGUACCUUUAUGCACUUAAUGAAUCAAGUCCUUAGACCCUUCUUAUCCCACUUUGUUGUGGUCUAUUUCGAUGACAUCUUGAUCUAUAGCAAGGAUGAGGAUGAACACUUUGAUCACAUUCAGAAGGUGCUAGAAGUACCAAGGGAAAAUGAGCUCUACGUCAACUUGAAGAAAUGUGUUUUCCUGCAAACACAACUUCUUUUCCUAGGAUUCGUCAUAACAUAA